CAGCCGCCGCGGGAAUACGAAGGGUGCAAGCGUUACUCGGAAUUACUGGGCGUAAAGCGUGCGUAGGUGGUGGUUUAAGUCCGUUGUGAAAGCCCUGGGCUCAACCUGGGAAUUGCAGUGGAUACUGGGUCACUAGAGUGUGGUAGAGGAUAGUGGAAUUUCCGGUGUAGCAGUGAAAUGCGUAGAGAUCGGAAGGAACAUCUGUGGCGAAGGCGGCCAUCUGGGACAACACUGACGCUGAGGCACGAAAGCGUGGGGAGCAAACAGGAUUAGAUACCCGUGUAGUCCCUGUCUCUUAUAC
rnacentral:rRNA from 1 species